CAAGCCAAUCCUGCUUUCUACCCGUCCACCCGCUAUCUCCCUUUAUCUCUUUUUAGUUCUCUAUAAUUCUCUUUCGUGCUCUCUCCCUCACUUUUGCCCUGACGGUCUCGGUAAUGACAAUCAUUACCGGGAAUGAUUGCAGCGGCGGGUCCGCCAGUGCCAGUCUGCCAUUGGGGGAUGGAAACCACCUUAUAGUCUCUUCGGUCCUCGAUGAGAACGGAUUGUCACAUACUGUCAGUGUUUCGUGUUUCCUGGUUGUUUGUGAUGUGUUUGAUAAAUAUCAAAUUUUUACAAAAAUUAUUGUCUCGGUAUGAGAGUUUUAUAUAUAAAUCCUCUUUGCCGUCGGUGAUUCCUUACGAGUCCAAAAGCGCGGCAUUUCUUCAUACACUUCAUCUUAUGAUGAAUCCAUCUUCACAUGUCUCUUCACCUAUGAUGUUCGGGCUAACAAUUCCACUUGAUUCCGAUGAAUGAUCGUAACGAGGCUAACACCAGGGUGGUAUGCACGUGUCUUCAAUGGACCAAUCAAAGCUCACCCUCUUCACAUCCAUUCUCGAGGCUUACAACGAUGUCGCCUUAAGCUUUUAUACACGAUGAUAAUCAUCAAACCACGAAUCUGAAAUUUUCUUAGAAGCGACCCACACAAUUUUCUGGAAACGAGGAGAAACUAGUCAACCUCAGCAAUUCAUCAAUUUUGGUCAAUGUUUCAAUUAUACUUGAGUCAUAAGUGAAUCACACAGAUAUAUACACGCGAGGAAAUUUGCGCAAACAUUCAUUUCAACGUGCGUAUGUCGUUUGGAUCAAGCAACACGCAAUAUACAGAGAGUCGGGUCAGUCGAGGUCAAAUUGGUAAUGGACUGACCCUUAAUUCAAUGUGGUCUAACCACCAAACGCCGAUACAUCAUUGCGCUUAUAAGCAAACAUGCAGACAUGCAACACCCUUCAAAACCAUUUCCAUGACCUUGAACUAAAAUGUGAAAUUUUCACUGAGAAAAUCUUCGAAAGAAAUAUCCAACAGAUUUCAAAUUGUGAAAAAAAAUCAUUCUUUUUUUUUAUUAUAUUAUUCUGUGAUCAAAAUAAAUAAACAAUAUACCAAACUAAAAAAAAAUUCUAACAAAUUAAUUUUAGAGCUUAUUCAUCCAAAAGUUUUUAGACUUCAGAUUCGUGUUUAUCAGGUCAAAAUAG